rnacentral:rRNA from 1 species
GGAAACGAUAGCUAAUACCGCAUGAAAUUGCUUAUCGCAUGAUAAUUAAUUGAAAGAUGCAAUUGCAUCACUACCAGAUGGACCUGCGUUGUAUUAGCUAGUUGGUGAGGUAACGGCUCACCAAGGCGACGAUACAUAGCCGACCUGAGAGGGUGAUCGGCCACACUGGGACUGAGACACGGCCCAG